rnacentral:rRNA from 1 species
CGUAGGGUGCAAGCGUUAAUCGGAAUUACUGGGCGUAAAGCGUGCGCAGGCGGUUUUUGUAAGUCUGUCGUGAAAAUCCCCGGGGCUCAACCUGGGAAUUGCGAUGGAGACUGCAAGGCUAGAAUCUGGCAGAGGGGGGUAGAAUUCCACGUGUAGCAGUGAAAUGCGUAGAGAUGUGGAGGAACACCGAUGGCGAAGGCAGCCCCCUGGGUCAAGAUUGACGCUCAUGCACGAAAGCGUGGGAGCAAACAGGAUU